AUUGAACGCUGGCGGCAUGCCUUACACAUGCAAGUCGAACGGUAACAGGUCUUCGGAUGCUGACGAGUGGCGAACGGGUGAGUAAUACAUCGGAACGUGCCCGAUCGUGGGGGAUAACGGAGCGAAAGCUUUGCUAAUACCGCAUACGAUCUACGGAUGAAAGCAGGGGACCGCAGGGCCUUGCGCGGACGGAGCGGCCGAUGGCAGAUUAGGUAGUUGGUGGGAUAAAAGCUUACCAAGCCGACGAUCUGUAGCUGGUCUGAGAGGACGACCAGCCACACUGGGACUGAGACACGGCCCAGACUCCUACGGGAGGCAGCAGUGGGGAAUUUUGGACAAUGGGCGCAAGCCUGAUCCAGCCAUGCCGCGUGCAGGAUGAAGGCCUUCGGGUUGUAAACUGCUUUUGUACGGAACGAAAAGACUCUUUCUAAUAAAGAGGGUCCAUGACGGUACCGUAAGAAUAAGCACCGGCUAACUACGUG
rnacentral:rRNA from 1 species